rnacentral:rRNA from 1 species
AACGAACGCUGGCGGCAGGCUUAACACAUGCAAGUCGAGCGCCCCGCAAGGGGAGCGGCAGACGGGUGAGUAACGCGUGGGAAUCUACCCAGCUCUACGGAAUAACGCAUGGAAACGUGUGCUAAUACCGUAUACGUCCUUCGGGAGAAAGAUUUAUCGGAGAUGGAUGAGCCCGCGUUGGAUUAGCUAGUUGGUGGGGUAAAGGCCUACCAAGGCGACGAUCCAUAGCUGGUCUGAGAGGAUGAUCAGCCACACUGGGACUGAGACACGGCCCAGACUCCUACGGGAGGCAGCAGUGGGGAAUAUUGGACAAUGGGCGCAAGCCUGAUCCAGCCAUGCCGCGUGAGUGAUGAAGGCCCUAGGGUUGUAAAGCUCUUUCACCGGUGAGGAUAAUGACGGUAACCGGAGAAGAAGCCCCGGCUAACUUCGUGCCAGCAGCCGCGGUAAUAC